CGGGGACUGACAGCCUAUUAUAAGACGGCUAUAACACCUUGGACUGACAGCCUAUUAUAAGACGGCUAUAACACCGGGGACUGACAGCCUAUUAUAAGACGGCUAUAACACCGUGGAGUGACAGCCUAUUAUUAGACGGUUAUAACACUGGGGACUGACAGCCUAUUAUAAGAUGGCUAUAACACCGGGGACUGACAGCCGGACAGCCUAUUAUAAGACGGUUAUAACACUG